rnacentral:rRNA from 1 species
AAAUUGAAGAGUUUGAUCAUGGCUCAGAUUGAACGCUGGCGGCAGGCCUAACACAUGCAAGUCGAACGGUAACAGGGAUCAGCUUGCUGAUUCGCUGACGAGUGGCGGACGGGUGAGUAAUGUCUGGGAAACUGCCUGAUGGAGGGGGAUAACUACUGGAAACGGUAGCUAAUACCGCAUAACGUCGCAAGACCAAAGAGG